CAGAUAGAUGUUCAUAUGGACCAAUGGGUAGAAACAUCGAUAAAAAUAAGAGUGAAAAAUGAAAAGGUCACAAAAGAUCACAGAUUAAGAAGCAGCAGACAUCAGAGUCCACAGAGAGUUCUCCAAAUCAAGCUGUUCCCACCUGACUUGCUGCUCCAUGGCCUGAAUAAGAUGCCGACGUCUCCUUUGAUGGGUGAGUGCUAGUGCGGUGGCAGAAAUUUUAAUUUAUCUGAUGUAAAAGCAAAGCUACUGUUCUCAUCCAUCACCUUUUAAUUUUUAGUUACUUAUUGCUCAAGUUUGUUUAUUCACAUAAUUAUGAUUUAAUGGAAACUGUGUAAUUUCAAUAUUGUUU